ACCUUCCAUAGGAACGAUGUCCGCACCGCCGACAGAACGCGUCUCUUCAGCCUUGACGCUCGUACACGAAGCAAGGAGGCUGCGACAUGCAAGGCUUCUCGUCGUCGACGACGAAGUGCCGCCGCCCGUGCAGCAGCAGCAGGAGCA
rnacentral:ribozyme from 1 species